rnacentral:rRNA from 1 species
AACGAACGCUGGCGGCAGGCCUAACACAUGCAAGUCGAGCGAGGUUUUCGGACCUAGCGGCGGACGGGUGAGUAACGCGUGGGAAUAUGCCCUUUGCUACGGAAUAGCCCCGGGAAACUGGGAGUAAUACCGUAUGUGCCCUUCGGGGGAAAGAUUUAUCGGCAAAGGAUUAGCCCGCGUUGAAUUAGGUAGUUGGUGGGGUAAUGCCCUACCAAGCCUACGAUCCAUAGCUGGUUUGAGAGGAUGAUCAGCCACACUGGGACUGAGACACGGCCCAGACUCCUACGGGAGGCAGCAGUGGGGAAUCUUAGACAAUGGGGGCAACCCUGAUCUAGCCAUGCCGCGUGAUCGAUGAAGGCCUUAGGGUUGUAAAGAUCUUUCAGCUGGGAAGAUAAUGACGGUACCAGCAGAAGAAGCCCCGGCUAACUCCGUGCCAGCAGCCGCCGUGA